GAUGAACGCUGGCGGCGUGCCUAAUACAUGCAAGUCGAGCGAACUGAUUAGAAGCUUGCUUCUAUGACGUUAGCGGCGGACGGGUGAGUAACACGUGGGCAACCUGCCUGUAAGACUGGGAUAACUUCGGGAAACCGAAGCUAAUACCGGAUAGGAUCUUCUCCUUCAUGGGAGAUGAUUGAAAGAUGGUUUCGGCUAUCACUUACAGAUGGUCCCGCGGUGCAUUAGCUAGUUGGUGAGGUAACGGCUCACCAAGGCAACGAUGCAUAGCCGACCUGAGAGGGGGAUCGGGCACGCUGGGACUGAGACACGGCCCAGACUCCUACGGGAGGCAGCAGUAGGGAAUCUUCCGCAAUGGACGAAAGUCUGACGGAGCAACGCCGCGUGAGUGAUGAAGGCCUUCGGGUCGUAAAACUCUGUUGUUAGGGAAGAACAAGUACGAGAGUAACUGCUCGUACCUUGACGGUACCUAACCAGAAAGCCACGGCUAACUACGUGCCAGCAGCCGCGGUAAGAC
rnacentral:rRNA from 1 species